rnacentral:rRNA from 1 species
GAUGAACGCUGGCGGCGUGCCUAAUACAUGCAAGUCGAGCGAACAGACGAGGAGCUUGCUCCUCUGACGUUAGCGGCAGACGGGUGAGUAACACGUGGAUAACCUACCUAUAAGACUGGGAUAACUUCGGGAAACCGGAGCUAAUACCGGAUAAUAUAUUGAACCGCAUGGUUCAAUAGUGAAAGACGGUUUUGCUGUCACUUAUAGAUGGAUCCGCGCCGCAUUAGCUAGUUGGUAAGGUAACGGCUUACUAAGGCAACGAUGCGUAGCCGACCUGAGAGGGUGAUCGGCCACACUGGAACUGAGACACGGCCCAGACUCCUACGGGAGGCAGCAGGAGGGAAUCUGCCGCAAGGGGCGAAAGCUUGACGGAGCAACGCCGCGUGAGUGAUGAAGGUCUUCGGAUCGUAAAACGCUGUUAUUAGGGAAGAACAAAUGUGUAAGUAACUAUGCACGUCUUGACGGUACCUAAUCAGAAAGCCACGGCGAACUACGU